UACGAAGGGGGCUAGCGUUGCUCGGAUUUACUGGGCGUAAAGGGCGCGUAGGCGGACGACCAAGUUGGGGGUGAAAGCCCGGGGCUCAACCUCGGAAUUGCCUUCAAAACUGGUCGUCUUGAGUAUGAGAGAGGUGUGUGGAACUCCGAGUGUAGAGGUGAAAUUCGUAGAUAUUCGGAAGAACACCAGUGGCGAAGGCGACACACUGGCUCAUUACUGACGCUGAGGCGCGAAAGCGUGGGGAGCAAACAGG
rnacentral:rRNA from 1 species